GACGAACGCUGGCGGCGUGCCUAAUACAUGCAAGUAGAACGCACAGUUUAUACCGUAGCUUGCUACACCAUAGACUGUGAGUUGCGAACGGGUGAGUAACGCGUAGGUAACCUGCCUGGUAGCGGGGGAUAACUAUUGGAAACGAUAGCUAAUACCGCAUAAUAUUAAUUAUUGCAUGAUAAUUGAUUGAAAGGUGCAAUUGCACCACUACCAGAUGGACCUGCGUUGUAUUUAGCUAGUAGGUGAGGUAACGGCUCACCUAGGCGACGAUACAUAGCCGACCUGAGAGGGUGAUCGGCCACACUGGGACUGAGACCACGGCCCCAGACUCCUACGGGAGGCCAGCCAGUAGGGAAUUUUUCG
rnacentral:rRNA from 1 species